AGUGAACGCUGGCGGAAGGCCUAACACAUGCAAGUCGAACGGCAGCACAGUAGGAGCCUGCGCGUAGGGGGGGGGAGGGGCGGGCGGGAGAGGAGAACAUCGGAAUCUACUUGUUCGUGGGGGACAAAGGAGGGAAACUUACGCUAAUACCGCAUACGACCUACGGGGGGAAGCAUGGGAUCUUCGGACCUUGCGCGAGUGGAUGAGCCGAUGUCGGAUUAGCUAGUUGGCGGGGUAAAGGCCCACCAAGGCGACGAUCCGUAGCUGGUCUGAGAGGAUGACCAGCCACACUGGAACUGAGACACGGUCCAGACUCCUACGGGAGGCAGCAGUGGGGAAUAUUGGACAAUGGGCGCAAGCCUGAUCCAGCCAUACCGCGUGGAGGAAGAAGGCCUUCGGGUUGUAAAGCCCUUUUGUUGGGAAAGAAAAGCAGCUGGUUAAUACCCCGCGGUUCUGACGGUACCCAAAGAAUAAGCACCGGCUAACUUCGUG
rnacentral:rRNA from 1 species